rnacentral:rRNA from 1 species
GACGAACGCUGGCGGCGUGCUUAACACAUGCAAGUCGAACGGAAAGGCCUGCUUUCCCUUGUGGAUUGCGGGUACUCGAGUGGCGAACGGGUGAGUAACACGUGAGUGAUCUGCCCCCAACUUGGGUAUAAGCCUGGGAAACUGGGUCUAAUUCCCGAUAGGACUGCAGGGUGGUGCCUGUGGUGGAAAACGAUUUUCUAGUGGUUGGGGAUGAGCUCGCGGCCUAUCAGCUUGUUGGUGGGGUAAUGGCCUACCAAGGCGGCGACGGGUAGCCGGCCUGAGAGGGUGGACGGCCACAUUGGGACUGGGAUACGGCCCAGACUCCUACGGGAGGCAGCAGUGGGGAAUAUUGCACAAUGGGCGGAAGCCUGAUGCAGCGACGCAGCGUGGGGGAUGACGGCAUUCGGGUUGUAAACUCCUUUCGACCGCGAGGAAGCCACCUGGUUGGAAGGGUGGUGACGGUAGUGGUAGAAGAAGCACCGGCUAACUACGUG